UGAGGAAUAUUGGUCAAUGGACGAGAGUCUGAACCAGCCAAGUAGCGUGAAGGAUGACUGCCCUAUGGGUUGUAAACUUCUUUUAUACGGGAAUAAAGUUAGCCACGUGUGGCUUUUUGUAUGUACCGUAUGAAUAAGGAUCGGCUAACUCCGUGCCAGCAGCCGCGGUAAUACGGAGGAUCCGAGCGUUAUCCGGAUUUAUUGGGUUUAAAGGGAGCGUAGGCGGGUUGUUAAGUCAGUUGUGAAAGUUUGCGGCUCAACCGUAAAAUUGCAGUUGAUACUGGCGACCUUGAGUGCAACAGAGGUAGGCGGAAUUCGUGGUGUAGCGGUGAAAUGCUUAGAUAUCACGAAGAACUCCGAUUGCGAAGGCAGCUUACUGGAUUGUAACUGACGCUGAUGCUCGAAAGUGUGGGUAUCAAACAGGAUUAGAUACCCUGGUAGUCCACACAGUAAACGAUGAAUACUCGCUGUUGGCGAUAUACGGUCAGCGGCCAAGCGAAAGCAUUAAGUAUUCCACCUGGGGAGUACGCCGGCAACGGUGAAACUCAAAGGAAUUGACGGGGGCCCGCACAAGCGGAGGAACAUGUGGUUUAAUUCGAUGAUACGCGAGGAACCUUACCCGGGCUUAAAUUGCAACUGACUGAACCGGAAACGGUUCUUUCUUCGGACAGUUGUGAAGGUGCUGCAUGGUUGUCGUCAGCUCGUGCCGUGAGGUGUCGGCUUAAGUGCCAUAACGAGCGCAACCCUUAUCGAUAGUUACUAGCAGGUCAUGCUGAGGACUCUAUUGAGACUGCCGUCGUAAGAUGUGAGGAAGGUGGAGAUGACGUCAAAUCAGCACGGCCCUUACGUCCGGGGCUACACACGUGUUACAAUGGGGGGUACAGGAGGCAGCUACACGGCGACGUGGUGCUAAUCCCGAAAGCCUCUCUCAGUUCGGAUUGGAGUCUGCAACCCGACUCCAUGAAGCUGGAUUCGCUAGUAAUCGCGCAUCAGCCACGGCGCGGUGAAUACGUUCCC
rnacentral:rRNA from 1 species